rnacentral:rRNA from 1 species
GUCGGGAGUUAGGAAAUGCAGGUUGGUUAAUACCCAACCUGUUUGACAAAGGCCCCAAAGGAAGCCACGGCUAACUCUGUGCCAGCAGCCGCGGUAAUACAGAGGUGGCAAGCGUUGUUCGGUAUUAUUGGGCGUAAAGAGCACGUAGGUGGUUUUGUAAGUCAGAUGUGAAAGCCUUCUGUUCAAAGGAAGAACGGCAUCUGAAACUGCAGAUCUUGAGUGCAGGAGGGGAGAGUGGAACUUCUGGU